rnacentral:rRNA from 1 species
CCCGCUCAGAAACUUCAAUGAAUUGACGGGGAGGCGCACAACCAGUGGAGCAUGUGGUUUAAUUCGAUACGAAGCGAAGAACCUUACCUGGUCUUGACAUCCCGGAGACCCUUAGGAAACUAGGGGGUGCUUCCAUCUGGAAGAAUCUGGAGACAGGUGCUGCAUGGCUGUCGUCAGCUCGUGUCGUGAGAUGUUGGGUUAAGUCCCGCAACGAGCGCAACCCUUGCCUUUAGUUGCCAGCAGUUCGGCUGGGCACUCUAAAGGGACUGCCGGUGUUAAACCGGAGGAAGGUGGGGAUGACGUCAAGUCCUCAUGGCCUUUAUGACCAGGGCUACACACGUACUACAAUGGCCGAUACAAAGGGCAGCGACACUGCGAGGUGAAGCCAAUCCCGUAAAAUCGGUCUCAGUCCGGAUUGGAGUCUGCAACUCGACUCCAUGAAGUUGGAAUCGCUAGUAAUCGUGGAUCAGCAUGCCACGGUGAAUACGUUCCCGGGCCUU